UAGAUUCAUCGUAGCGAAUUGUAGCCCAUCAAGUAACAAGAUCCUCGUGUCUACGUCGUCUUGAGAACCCGAAUCCAUCAGCAAGCGGAAAGGUGCAUGAAUGGCUCUUGGUAUUGUCAUUUGCUCGGUAAAAAUCGCCCCCUGGUUCCCCGAAGGAAGGAGCCAAUGUUUAGGAUGAUGCGACAGUUCAUCAUAGGCGUACACUUCUGGGGACAGGAGACAAAGUGUUUUUAAGUUGAUUUAAAUUGUUUGCGUUAAUUUGGGGUAUUAUGCGGUGUUUCCAUUUGUUUCAACUAUUCUGAUACCAGGAAAUCAUUAGGUCACGUGAGUACAAUUAGAUUUUUAACAAUCCAGUGUGUUAGGUGUUGAUAAAGUGCAAUAUUCAACGCAACCCGCAACAGCUUCAUGCCGCGAGCCUAGCAGCAUCUUGAGGUUAUCGAAAGGUGAAAACAGCACUUCGAUGAACACCUAAAUGGGGCUGAAAGCAAAAUAUUAAUUAUAUUAUAUUAAGAAUGUGGAAUUUAUAUCAUGAUUUUAUAAAAGCUAGACCACUGUAGACCGACCAGGAAUCAAACCCAGAAACCUUUAGAAUGACUUUGCUGUGCAGUCGCGGACUUUAACACUAGUUUCAAAUGCAUGAUAAUACAUAUGAUGAAUUAAAUGAUGUCCUGUAGUUCA